GGAGUGAAUAUUGGCACAAUGGGCGCAAGCCUGAUGCAGCCAUGCCGCGUGUGUGAAGAAGGCCUUCGGGUUGUAAAGUACUUUCAGCGGGGAGGAAGGCGUUGAGGUUAAUAACCUUGGCGAUUGACGUUACCCGCAGAAGAAGCACCGGCUAACUCCGUGCCAGCAGCCGCGGUAAU
rnacentral:rRNA from 1 species